rnacentral:ribozyme from 1 species
AUUCUACUGUGCUCUGCAAUGGGAUGGGAUCCGAAGCGCUUCUGAGGGAUAAUAUAGGCUCUCCUUUUUAACUCCUAUCCGAACACGUGCAGAGUGGCAACAUGUGUCAUCACAUAUUCAAGCUUGGGUACACGGACUAGUUCCAAUCCCUAGAAGGACAGAGUCGUAAUAAGUGAU